rnacentral:tRNA from 1 species
GCCCUGGUAGUGUAGCCUGGUUCAGCAAAACAAACCUUGUUUUGUUGCAGUAACUAUCAUGAAGCCCUGUCGAGGCUUCGACCCGGGUUCGAAUCCCGGCCAGGGCG